rnacentral:rRNA from 1 species
UACGUAGGGUGCAAGCGUUGCCCGGAUUUAUUGGGCGUAAAGGGCGCGUAGGCGGCUCUGCACGUCCGUUGUGAAAUCGCCCGGCUCAACUGGGCGGGGUCAGCGGAUACGGCAGAGCUUGAGCAAGCUAGGGGGCAAUGGAAUUCCCGGUGUAGUGGUGGAAUGCGUAGAUAUCGGGAGGAACACCAAUAGCGAAGGCAGCUCGCUGGGACGGUACUGACGCUGAGGAGCGAAAGCGUGGGGAG